UACAGAGGGGGCAAGCGUUGUUCGGAAUUACUGGGCGUAAAGGGCGCGUAGGUGGCCUCCUAAGUCGAACGUGAAAUCCCUGGGCUCAACCCAGGAACUGCGUCCGAGACUGGGAGGCUUGAAUCCGGGAGAGGGAUGCGGAAUUCCAGGUGUAGCGGUGAAAUGCGUAGAUAUCGGAAGGAACACCGGUGGCGAAAGCGGCGCGCUGGACCUCUUCUGACGCUGAGGCGCGAAAGCCAGGGGAGCAAACGGG
rnacentral:rRNA from 1 species